GAUGAACGCUGGCGGCGUGCCUAAUACAUGCAAGUCGAGCGAACGGACGAGAAGCUUGUUUCUCUGAUGUUAGCGGCGGACGGGUGAGUAACACGUGUAUAACCUACCUAUAAGACUGGGAUAACUUCGGGAAACCGGCGCUAAUACCGGAUAAUAUUUUGAACCGUAUGGUUCAAUAGAGAAAGACGGUCUUGCUGUCACUUAUAGAUGGAUCUGCGCUGCAUUAGCUAGUUGGUAAGGUAACGGGUUACCAAGGCAACGAUGCAUAGCCGACCUGAGAGGGUGGUCGGCCGCACUGGAGCGGAGACACGGUCAAGACGCCUACGAGAGGCAGCAGUAGGGAAUCGUACGCAAUGGGCGAAAGCCUGACGGAGCAACGCCGCGUGAGUGAUGAAGGUCUUCGGAUCGUAAAACUCUGUUAUUAUGGAAGAACAUAUGUGUAAGUAACUGUGCACAUCUUGACGGUACCUAAUCAGAAAGCCACGGCUAACUACGUG
rnacentral:rRNA from 1 species